rnacentral:rRNA from 1 species
CAGUCGCCGCGGUAAUACGGAGGGGGCUAGCGUUGUUCGGAAUUACUGGGCGUAAAGCGUACGUAGGCGGCUUUGUAAGUUAGAGGUGAAAGCCUGGCGCUCAACACCAGAACUGCCUUUAAGACUGCAUCGCUUGAACGUCGGAGAGGUGAGUGGAAUUCCGAGUGUAGAGGUGAAAUUCGUAGAUAUUCGGAAGAACACCAGUGGCGAAGGCGGCUCACUGGACGACUGUUGACGCUGAGGUACGAAAGCGUGGGGAGCAAACAGGAUUAGAUACCCCAGUAGUCCCUGUCUCUUAUAC